GAUGAACGCUGGCGGCGUGCCUAAUACAUGCAAGUCGAGCGAACAGACGAGGAGCUUGCUCCUCUGACGUUAGCGGCGGACGGGUGAGUAACACGUGGAUAACCUACCUAUAAGACUGGGAUAACUUCGGGAAACCGGAGCUAAUACCGGAUAAUAUAUUGAACCGCAUGGUUCAAUAGUGAAAGACGGUUUUGCUGUCACUUAUAGAUGGAUCCGCGCCGCAUUAGCUAGUUGGUAAGGUAACGGCUUACCAAGGCAACGAUGCGUAGCCGACCUGAGAGGGUGAUCGGCCACACUGGAACUGAGACACGGUCCAGACUCCGACGGGAGGCAGCAGUAGGGAAUCUUCCGCAAUGGGCGAAAGCCUGACGGAGCAACGCCGCGUGGGUGAUGAAGGUCUUCGGAUCGUAAAACUCUGUUAUUAGGGAAGAACAAAUGUGUAAGUAACUAUGCACGUCUUGACGGUACCUAAUCAGAAAGCCACGGCUAACUACGUG
rnacentral:rRNA from 1 species